AGUCAAUAUAUUUUUCACUGAAACUGUUUGCUCUUUUGAUUUUUCUCUCCUUUUUCUGCUAAGCAAUAACCAGGAAGUGUCCAACAUGUUGCCGCUUACCAUGCUGAUGUUUUUUCUUGGACUGUGUGCAUCACUUCCUGAAACAGAUGAUCAUGAAGAAAUUGAGCCUUUGAUCAGUGAUGAGGUGGGUCAAAAU